CCUACGGGUGGCAGCAGUGAGGAAUAUUGGUCAAUGGACGAGAGUCUGAACCAGCCAAGUAGCGUGAAGGAUGACUGCCCUAUGGGUUGUAAACUUCUUUUAUAUGGGAAUAAAACGUUCCACGUGUGGGAUUUUGUAUGUACCAUAUGAAUAAGGAUCGGCUAACUCCGUGCCAGCAGCCGCGGUAAUACGGAGGAUCCGAGCGUUAUCCGGAUUUAUUGGGUUUAAAGGGAGCGUAGGUGGAUUGUUAAGUCAGUUGUGAAAGUUUGCGGCUCAACCGUAAAAUUGCAGUUGAAACUGGCAGUCUUGAGGACAGUAGAGGUGGGCGGAAUGCGUGGUGUAGCGGUGAAAUGCUUAGAUAUCACGAAGAACCCCGAUUGCGAAGGCAGUUCACUGGACUGCAACUGACACUGAGGCUCGAAAGUGUGGGUAUCAAACAGGAUUAGAUACCCCUGUAGUC
rnacentral:rRNA from 1 species